rnacentral:rRNA from 1 species
GAUGAACGCUGGCGGCGUGCCUAAUACAUGCAAGUAGAACGCUGAAGGAGGAGCUUGCUCUUCUGGAUGAGUUGCGCACGGGUGAGUAAAGCGUAGGUAACCUGCCUGGUAGCGGGGGAUAACUCUUGGAAACGCUAGCUAAUACCGCAUGACAACAGUUAUUGCAUGAUAACUGUUUAAAAGGGGCAACUGCUCCACUACCAGAUGGACCUGCGUUGUAUUAGCUAGUUGGUGAGGUAACGGCUCACCAAGGCGACGAUACAUAGCCGACCUGAGAGGGGUAUCCGCCACACUGGGACUGAGACACGGCCCAGACUCCCACGGGAGGCAGCAAGAGGGGAACUUCGGCAAUGGAGGGAAGGCUGACCGAGCAACGCCGCGUGAGUGAAGAAGGUUUUCGGAUCGUAAAGCUCUGGUGUAAGGGAAGAACGAGAGUGGUAGGGGAAAGUGCACGCUGUGACGGUACCUUACCAGAAAGGGACGGCUAACUACGUG